CCUUAAUAUUCAUAAUUUAUUUGUUCAUUGUAGCCACCAUCAUGCGAUGAAGCUAAAGAGACUAAUGAGGACUGUGCCAUAGGUCUUGAGCUAUCUGAAAGUGACCCUUAUUUUGAUAAAAAGAAGAAGUUACUUCAAAAUAAGGGUUUCAAUCCCAAGGAGUGGGUUUCUCUCAAGAGCUCUUCAUGUCCUAGUUGGAUAAGUGUUACAUUGAAAAUGAUGCUUCAGAUAG